GCCUGGCUGGCUCAGUUGGUAGAGUAUGUGACUUUGGAUCUCAGAGUCCCAUGAGUUCAAGCCCCAUGCUAGAUG
rnacentral:tRNA from 1 species